UACGAAGGGGGCUAGCGUUGCUCGGAAUCACUGGGCGUAAAGGGCGCGUAGGCGGCCGAUCAAGUCGGAGGUGAAAGCCCAGGGCUCAACCCUGGAAUGGCCUUCGAUACUGGUUGGCUCGAGUCCGGAAGAGGUGAGUGGAACUGCGAGUGUAGAGGUGAAAUUCGUAGAUAUUCGCAAGAACACCAGUGGCGAAGGCGGCUCACUGGUCCGGUACUGACGCUGAGGUGCGAAAGCGUGGGGAGCAAACAGG
rnacentral:rRNA from 1 species